UCCUGCAGUUCCAAUGUCUCCACCCAGAGUUUAUUCCCUUCACAACCCCUCACAGCUGGACUGGCCAAGUCCCACCUGGAGUGACAGACUCUUCCUCCUCACCUCCUGGGAGCAGAGAACUGCCUUUCCUGUGCCCCAAGGCAGGCAGGAGAGCAUGGGUGAUGUCCAAACCUCUGUGCUGGAAGCCUCAGCACUGACCCAGGGGCUCCCUCUGUGUCUGUCCCACCUCCAGCCAAGUGACAGACAGUGCUGACCAGACCUGGGCCCUCCCCUGAAAAUCCCCCUGGCCCAGCACCCACAGCCAGCACGGAGAAGCAGACAGCUGCUGUCUCUGGAGCCAAAUCACCUGGAUCUGGAUGCACAUCAGACACCUGAAAGGCCCCAUUUCCUCCAGAAUAACCCAGAGGGAGAUGCCCUUGGCGUGAAGUGCAGUGGGGCUGCUCUGGGGCAGCAGAGCAAGAAUUUGGCUUUGCCUCCUCACACAUCUGAUGGUCUGUGAAACAAUUCAGAAGAGUUUGGGCUCUAAGGUGCCGGCUUUUCCCAUCCCAUGUCCCUUUCCUGUUCCCUGGAGGAGGAAAAAUCUACCUGGAGGAUCUUUCUUUGCUGGUUGCACAGCACAGACAGCAGCUCUGCUGCUGCCUUCCCCUGUGGGUGAGGGGAGAUGGUUUGAGGGGAGGGGGCUGCAUCAGGGACCCCGGCUGGGCAGGGGACAUC